UGCCAAGCAGAGGUAGUGAAAAGUGCAUCCUCACCGGCUCCUUCGCCCACAACUGUUCAACGACAACACUCCUAAUCAGACGCCCCUCAGCAGCGGAUUAUUGAAAGGGAGAGAAAUAAUAUAACCAAAUAAUAACAAACAACAACCAAAUUCUCACCCGCCCAAUGAUUGUAGUCCAGUUACGCAACGCAGGAAAAAAUCACCGAAAAUUACAAUCACAAUCAUUACAAUGUACAAUCAGACGGGCCAAUUUAUUUACAAACUGCACACAGCCUGGCAGAGUAAAAGGUUCAGCCGAGUAGUGCUAUCGGUUUGGAAGUGCGGAAGUCAACAUUGUCCGGAAAAAACCACCGGAGACGCGUCGAUUCAAAGUUGACCAACAACAAUCAACAACAGCAGCAGGGAUAGGAGAUAAUAUUAUUAAUUGACAUAUGUCAAUACCGAGAAACUCCAGGCAAUUAGAUGCGAUACGCUCCUGCCAAUUAACUCCAAGUUCCGGGACUUCCUUCCUGUGAAGUAAAAAUGGUGCUCCAAGAGCACGUGGGCGAAGCAACGUGCGGACACAAUUCGAUCCACAUUUAAGUUCCACAAUUGGCGGGAACUGAGAGUUUAUUUUCAGUCCUCGCCCGCAAGUAGAAACCGACAAGAACGCAUCCUAGUAUCGUGUUAAAUAACGGCUUCCGGAAGACGAUUUCAACAACAAGGUGGAAAGCAGCAUGCAUGGAGCGAAAAGCGCAGGUUUAAAAUUCAAAUCACUUGAGCUAGCUGUAGUUUUCACAAUGAAAAUCAUCAUCAACAUAUCCUUCGCGGACGGAAACGAUUCCGUCAAGUCCAGUAAAUUUCAAACAUACUGGAGUGCUUUGUGUCAAAGAAUGAAUACAAUAUUUGUUUAUAAAUAAAUGGUCCGAUUUUGAA